ACUGCGGAGGAUCAUUAUCGAGUUUUGAACGGGUUGUCGCUGGCCUUUCACGAGGCAUGUGCACGCCUGGCUCAUCCACUCUCAACCUCUGUGCACUCUAUGUAAGAAACGGUGUAAGCCAGCCUUCAUUGGCAGGCAACAAGCCUUUUCUUAUGUUUCACUACACACGCUUCAGUCAUAGAAUGUCUUACUGUGUAUAACACAAUUUAUAUACAACUUUCAGCAACGGAUCUCUUGGCUCUCGCAUCGAUGAAGAACGCAGCGAAAUGCGAUAAGUAAUGUGAAUUGCAGAAUUCAGUGAAUCAUCGAAUCUUUGAACGCACCUUGCACUCCUUGGUAUUCCGAGGAGUAUGCCUGUUUGAGUCUCAUGGAAUUCUCAACCCCUAAAUUUUGUAACGAGGUUUAGUGGGCUUGGACUUGGAGGUCGUGUCGGCUGUCAGUCGACUCCUCUGAAAUGCAUUAGCGUGAAUCUUACGGAUCACCUUCAGUGUGAUAAUUAUCUGCGCUGUGGUGUUGAAGUAUUUAUCGGUUCAUGCUUAUAAUCGUCUCUGACCGAGACAAUUAUUUGACAAUCUGAGCUCAAAUCAGGUAGGACUACCCGCUGAACUUAAGCAUAUCAAAAGCGGGAAGAAUCUAUAGAAUUUGUUUUUAGCCUUCUACCGUAUCUGGCUCUUUGCUUAAAGUGUAUAGUAAUCUUCCGUCCCAUUCUCAGACACGACUAUCCAUGCACUCGACCACACUCUCGAGAUUCGAUCUGCUAUAGGCAACAGAUAGCUGAGUGAUCAGUACUUCAUCUCGUAGAUGCUUGCUUGGUUCGGUAGUUAUCACACUAGCGAGUAGAGCAAACUCACAGACUGAAUUUGA
rnacentral:rRNA from 1 species